rnacentral:tRNA from 1 species
UGGCUCAGAUGGUAAGGAAUCUGCCUGCAAUGCAGGAGACCCAGGUUCAAUUCCUGG